ACAUGCAAGUCGAACGGCAGCACGGGAGCAAUCCUGGUGGCGAGUGGCGAACGGGUGAGUAAUAUAUCAGAACGUGCCCAGUCGUGGGGGAUAACGUAGCGAAAGCUACGCUAAUACCGCAUACGAUCUAUGGAUGAAANCGGGGGAUCGCAAGACCUCGCGCGAUUGGAGCGGCCGAUAUCAGAUUAGGUAGUUGGUGAGGUAAAGGCUCACCAAGCCGACGAUCUGUAGCUGGUCUGAGAGGACGACCAGCCACACUGGGACUGAGACACGGCCCAGACUCCUACGGGAGGCAGCAGUGGGGAAUUUUGGACAAUGGGCGCAAGCCUGAUCCAGCAAUGCCGCGUGCAGGAUGAAGGCCUUCGGGUUGUAAACUGCUUUUGUACGGAACGAAACGGUGAGCUCUAAUACAGUUUGCUAAUGACGGUACCGUAAGAAUAAGCACCGGCUAACUACGUG
rnacentral:rRNA from 1 species